AAUUGACGGCAAUUGCCUAGAUGAUAUAACUGACGCAAUGCCACGCGACGUUGUCUUUGUGGUAAAUGCUGUGACUGUGACAAGACGAAUCCCACAAACCAACAACCAAAGUAUUAGAAAAGCAU
rnacentral:ribozyme from 15 species